GAUGAACGCUGGCGGCGUGCCUAAUACAUGCAAGUCGAGCGAACAGACGAGGAGCUUGCUCCUCUGACGUUAGCGGCGGACGGGUGAGUAACACGUGGAUAACCUACCUAUAAGACUGGGAUAACUUCGGGAAACCGGAGCUAAUACCGGAUAAUAUAUUGAACCUCAUGGUUCAAUAGUGAAAGACGGUUUUGCUGUCACUUAUAGAUGGAUCCGCGCCGCAUUAGCUAGUUGGUAAGGUAACGGCUUACCAAGGCAACGAUGCUUAGCCGACCUGAGAGGGUGAUCGGCCACACUGGAACUGAGACACGGUCCAGACUCCUACGGGAGGCAGCAGUAGGGAAUCUUACGCAAUGGGCGAAAGCCUGACGGAGCAACGCCGCGUGAGUGAUGAAGGUCUUCGGAUCGUAAAACUCUGUUAUUAGGGAAGAACAAAUGUGUAAGUAACUAUGCACGUCUUGACGGUACCUAAUCAGAAAGCCACGGCUAACUACGUG
rnacentral:rRNA from 1 species